rnacentral:rRNA from 1 species
UCUGGUGCGUAUACGUCAGGGGAAACACCGCUUCCCAUUCCGAACAGCGCCGUGAAGCUCUGACGGCCGAUGGUAGUGCACACCUGUGCGAGAGUAGGUGAGCGCCAGAU